GCCUGAUGCAGCGACGCCGCGUGAGGGAUGACGGCCUUCGGGUUGUAAACCUCUUUCAAUAGGGACGAAGCGCAAGUGACGGUACCUAUAGAAGAAGGACCGGCCAACUACGUGCCAGCAGCCGCGGUAAUACGUAGGGUCCGAGCGUUGUCCGGAAUUACUGGGCGUAAAGAGCUCGUAGGUGGUUUGUCGCGUUGUUCGUGAAAACUCACAGCUCAACUGUGGGCGUGCGGGCGAUACGGGCAGACUAGAGUACUGCAGGGGAGACUGGAAUUCCUGGUGUAGCGGUGGAAUGCGCAGAUAUCAGGAGGAACACCGGUGGCGAAGGCGGGUCUCUGGGCAGUAACUGACGCUGAGGAGCGAAAGCGUGGGGAGCGAACAGGAUUAGAUACCCUGGUAGUCCACGCCGUAAACGGUGGGUACUAGGUGUGGGUUUCCUUCCUUGGGAUCCGUGCCGUAGCUAACGCAUUAAGUACCCCGCCUGGGGAGUACGGCCGCAAGGCUAAAACUCAAAGAAAUUGACGGGGGCCCGCACAAGCGGCGGAGCAUGUGGAUUAAUUCGAUGCAACGCGAAGAACCUUACCUGGGUUUGACAUGCACAGGACGCCGGCAGAGAUGUCGGUUCCCUUGUGGCCUGUG
rnacentral:rRNA from 1 species